rnacentral:rRNA from 1 species
AUUGAACGCUGGCGGAAUGCUUUACACAUGCAAGUCGAACGGUAGAGGGGGCAACCCCCUUGAGAGUGGCGAACGGGUGAGUAAUAUAUCGGAACGUGCCCAGUCGUGGGGAUAACGUAGCGAAAGUUACGCUAAUACCGCAUACGAUCUAAGGAUGAAAGCGGGGGAUCGCAAGACCUCGCGCGAUUGGAGCGGCCGAUAUCAGAUUAGGUAGUUGGUGGGGUAAAGGCUCACCAAGCCAACGAUCUGUAGCUGGUCUGAGAGGACGACCAGCCACACUGGAACUGAGACACGGUCCAGACUCCUACGGGAGGCAGCAGUGGGGAAUUUUGGACAAUGGACGCAAGUCUGAUCCAGCCAUUCCGCGUGCAGGAUGAAGGCCCUCGGGUUGUAAACUGCUUUUGUACGGAACGAAAGGUUUCUCUUAAUACUAGGAGCUCAUGACGGUACCGUAAGAAUAAGCACCGGCUAACUACGUGCCAGCAGCCGCGGUAAAGUGAC